GAAGCUACCCUACACACACAAAUAUUCAUGCAAACUCACAAUCAUUUUAUCCUCAAAAUAUUCAGAAAUGUGUUAUUGUAACAUUUUGAUGAACGGCUUCCUGUGUUCUAUGUGAAAGAAUGUCGGCUGCGCAUAGCUGCGCAACCCUGAUUAUACUCAACAACCCCACUGCAUGUUGACACUUGACUGCGACUGGAAAACAGCUGAGCAAAGACCAAACAACAAGCAUCUAUCAGACUUUAGCUACUUCUAGAAGUAUACAAUCUGAACAUUGACCCGUAGCUUUGACAUGGCACUUGAGGAAUAUUCACAAAGAAGCUAGCUAAUACAGUUAAUGCGAAGAGAAGAAAAAAAUACGUAUUUGCAGCUUGGAAGAAACCAGGAAGAUGUUUGAGAAUUUCAAAGAGAGGUUGCAGACGGUGCAGCAAGAUUUCACAACGGGGAUGAAGACUCUGAGUGACAAAUCAAAGGAGGCCAAAGUAAAGCAGAAACACAGACAUGAACAUCUGACACAGUUUUCUGCUGGAGUAGAACUGCUCAGUCGGUACGAAGACACCUGGGUGACUCUCCACAGAAAAGCUAAAGAUUGUGCGAAAGCUGGAGAGG